GUUACAGCGGGUUGGGAGCAAGCGGCCGUCACUGGGCUACGCGUUUAGUAUACUACAGCCUUUUGUUAUUUCCGUGUGCACUCAUACAUAAGGAAAAGCAAAAAAGCGUUCUGGUGACAGUAGUGAAGGUGAGGCUCUGACUUGUUACAGCCCAGGAAGACUCAGCCUGAUGAGCAUUCUUGCAUCCACAUUUGUAACAACAAAAACAAAAAGCUGAAAAGGGUCUCUCUGGAUCAAACCUGAGCCAGCUUGUUCUGGGAUCCCUCAUCUCUACCUUCAGAACCUGGAAUUACAGGCA